rnacentral:rRNA from 1 species
AGAGACAGCAGUAGCCGCGGUAAUACGUAGGGUGCAAGCGUUAAUCGGAAUUACUGGGCGUAAAGCGUGCGCAGGCGGUUAUAUAAGACAGAUGUGAAAUCCCCGGGCUCAACCUGGGAACUGCAUUUGUGACUGUAUAGCUAGAGUACGGCAGAGGGGGAUGGAAUUCCGCGUGUAGCAGUGAAAUGCGUAGAUAUGCGGAGGAACACCGAUGGCGAAGGCAAUCCCCUGGGCCUGUACUGACGCUCAUGCACGAAAGCGUGGGGAGCAAACAGGAUUAGAUACCCCGGUAGUCCCUGUCUCUUAUAC